rnacentral:rRNA from 1 species
UCGUAACAAGGUUUCCGUAGGUGAACCUGCGGAAGGAUCAUUAAUAGAGCAAUGAGCAGUCAGCGCCCCGGGAGAAAUCCUGGGGGCCACCCUCCUUGGAGGGUUUAGAGACGUCGGGCCUCUCAGAGAAGCUCGGUUCAGACCUCCACCCUUGAAUAAAUUACCUUUGUUGCUUUGGCAGGACGCCUCGUGCCAGCGGCUUCGGCUGCUGAGUGCCUGCCAGAGGACCACAACUCUUGAAAUAUAUGAUGUCUGAGUACUAUAUAAUAGUUAAAACUUUCAACAACGGAUCUCUUGGUUCUGGCAUCGAUGAAGGACGCAGCGAAAUGCGAUAAGUAAUGUGAAUUGCAGAAUUCAGUGAAUCAUCGAAUCUUUGAACGCACAUUGCGCCCUCUGGUAUUCCGGGGGGCAUGCCUGUUCGAGCGUCAUUAUAACCACUCAAGCUCUCGCUUGGUAUUGGGGUUUGCGGUUUCGCGGCCCCUAAACUCAGUGGCGGUGCCUGUCGGCUCUACGCGUAGUAAUACUCCUCGCGAUUGAGUCCGGUAGGUCUACUUGCCAGUAACCCCCAAUUUUUUACAGGUUGACCUCGGAUCAGGUAGGGAUACCCGCUGAACUUAAGCAUAUCAAUAAGCGGAGGAAAAGAAACCAACAGGGAUUACCUCAGUAACGGCGAGUGAAGCGGUAACAGCUCAAAUUUGAAAGCUAGCUCUUUUAGGGUUCGCAUUGUAAUUUGUAGAAGAUGCUUCGGGUGUGGCCCCGGUCUAAGUUCCUUGGAACAGGACGUCGUAGAGGGUGAGAAUCCCGUAUGUGACUGGGUGCCUUCGCUCAUGUGAAGCUCUUUCGACGAGUCGAGUUGUUUGGGAAUGCAGCUCAAAAUGGGUGGUAAAUUUCAUCUAAAGCUAAAUAUUGGCCAGAGACCGAUAGCGCACAAGUAGAGUGAUCGAAAGAUGAAAAGCACUUUGGAAAGAGAGUUAAACAGUACGUGAAAUUGUUGAAAGGGAAGCGCUUGCAACCAGACUUGCGCGCUGAUGAUCAUCCGGGCUUCUGCCCGGUGCACUCGUCUGCGCUCAGGCCAGCAUCGGUUUCGGUGGUGGGAUAAAGGCCUUGGGAAUGUAGCUCCUCUCGGGGAGUGUUAUAGCCCUCGGUGCAAUGCCGCCUACCGGGACCGAGGACCGCGCUUCGGCUAGGAUGCUGGCGUAAUGGUUGUAAGCGACC